GACGAACGCUGGCGGCGUGCUUAACACAUGCAAGUCGAACGGAAAGGCCCUGCUUUUGUGGGGUGCUCGAGUGGCGAACGGGUGAGUAACACGUGAGUAACCUGCCCUUGACUUUGGGAUAACUUCAGGAAACUGGGGCUAAUACCGGAUAGGAGUUCUUGCUGCAUGGUGGGGGUUGGAAAGUUUCGGCGGUUGGGGAUGGACUCGCGGCUUAUCAGCUUGUUGGUGGGGUAGUGGCUUACCAAGGCUUUGACGGGUAGCCGGCCUGGGAGGGUGACCGGCCCCAUUAGGCCUGAGAUACGACCCAGACUCGUACGGGAGGCAGCAGUGGAGAAUAUUGCACAAUGGGCGGAAGCCUGAUGCGACAACGCCGCGUGCGGUAUGACGUCCUUCGGGUUGUAAACCACUUUCGCCUGUGACGAGGCGUGAGUGACGGUAAUGGGUAAAGAAGCACCGGCUAACUACGUG
rnacentral:rRNA from 1 species